rnacentral:rRNA from 1 species
GGAUUAGAUACCCUGGUAGUCCACGCUGUAAACGAUGUCAACUAGCCGUUGGAGGACUUGAUCUUUUAGUGGCGCAGCUAACGCGAUAAGUUGACCGCCUGGGGAGUACGGCCGCAAGGUUAAAACUCAAAUGAAUUGACGGGGGCCCGCACAAGCGGUGGAGCAUGUGGUUUAAUUCGAGGCAACGCGAAGAACCUUACCAGGUCUUGACAUCCUGAGAAUUCUGUAGAGAUACGGGAGUGCCUUCGGGAAUUCAGAGACAGGUGCUGCAUGGCUGUCGUCAGCUCGUGUUG